rnacentral:rRNA from 1 species
CCUACGGGUGGCUGCAGUGGGGGAUAUUGCACAAUGGGGGGAACCCUGAUGCAGCGACGCCGCGUGGGUGAAGGAGCGUUUCGGCGCGUAAAGCCCUAUCGGCAGGGAAGAAGAUGACGGUACCUGACCAAGAAGCCCCGGCUAAAUACGUGCCAGCAGCCGCGGUAAUACGUAUGGGGCAAGCGUUAUCCGGAUUUACUGGGUGUAAAGGGAGCGUAGGCGGCAGGGCAAGCCUGAUGUGAAAGCCCGGGGCUCAACCCCGGGACUGCAUUGGGAACUGCCCCGCUCGAGUGCCGGAGGGGCAGGCGGAAUUCCUAGUGUAGCGGUGAAAUGCGUAGAUAUUAGGAGGAACACCAGUGGCGAAGGCGGCCUGCUGGACGGUGUACUGACGCUGAGGCUCGAAAGCGUGGGGAGCAAACAGGAUUAGAUACCCGAGUAGUC